GCAUUGGUGGUUUAGAGUGGUGCUAGAAUUCUUCGCCUGCCACGCGGGACGGCCCGGGUUCGAUUCCCGGCCAAUGCA